rnacentral:rRNA from 1 species
UACGAAGGGGGCUAGCGUUGUUCGGAUUUACUGGGCGUAAAGCGCACGUAGGCGGAUUGUUAAGUCGGGGGUGAAAUCCUGGAGCUCAACUUCAGAAUUGCCUUCGAUACUGGCUUUCUAGAGGCUGGAAGAGGUUAGUGGAAUUCCCAGUGUAGAGGUGAAAUUCGUAGAUAUUAGGAAGAACACCGGUGGCGAAGGCGGCCCACUGGCUCGAUACUGACGCUGAGGUGCGAAAGCGUGGGGAGCAAACAGGG